rnacentral:lncRNA from 1 species
CUGAAGACUAUUUUAGGAAGGCAGAGGUCAUCUUCUCUCUGCUGACUUCGUCUGGAUUUCCCCAGAAGAACUGGAUGAGAGGUUCUCAGCGUAACAUGAAUGGACAGAGUGAGGACUGCUUGGCACUGCUGAAAAUCAAUGGUGAAGCAGGCUUUGAUGACAUGAGCUGUUCCGGAAUCGUCACCUCUGCCAAAACUCUCUGCAAGAUUCAUACUUCAAUGGACUGACUUUCGUAGGAGUCCAAACAGAGAGUGGAAAAGGGGUUUUGCCAACUCUCUGAUUUUCUUUUUCUAGUAUCGCACAAAAUUGUUCUGAGUUUGAUUUAAGUUGAGUACAAUAUAAUGAAAGGUGACGCAAUGGCUACAGAUACAUACACAAUGAUACAUUGAUUCAAUUGUAUUUUUGAAAGCAGAGUAAACACUUGAGUAAACAAGGGAUACAAAGAAUAUUUGAAAGCACGUGCUUCCACACAGGUGUGGUUCCUGAGUUAAUUAAGCAAUUAACAUCCCAUCAUGGUUAGGGUCAUGUAUAAAAUGCUGGGCAGGCCAUUAUUUUGGCUACCAUGGUUAUGCCCCCAUAGAAUCCACAGGGCACGAAUGGUCACUGAAUCGUUUGAUGAACAUGAAAUCGAUAUAAACCAUAUGUCAUGGCCGUCUCAGUCAAUAGAUCUCAACGCAACUGAACACUUAUUGGAGAUUUGGGAGCGUUGCCUGAGUCAGCAUUUUCCACCACCAUCAACAAAACACAAACUGAUGUAAAUUCUCGUGGAAGAAUGAUUUCGCAUCCCUCCAAUAGAGUUCCAGACACUUGUAGAAUCUAUGCCAAGGUGCAUUGAAGCUCAUGAUUGCUCGUGGUGGUCCAACACCCUGUUAAGAUACUUUAUGUAGGUGUUUCCUUUACUUGGACAGUUACCUUUCAAUACAUAAUGAUACUUUGAUUCAAUUAUAUUUUGGGUGGUCUUUUUUUUAUUGAAAAUUAUUGUCAGGUUUUGCAAUGGAAUUGUCCCUAUACAGAUGUGGCAUCUGAAUUUGAUCAUUAUUUUCUUGCUGAGGAAAUGCAACUUGUUGUGCAUACAAGGUUUUUAAAGGCUUUUAAAAUUUGCAAUUUCCAUUUUAAAAUGUCAGACUUGAUUAGCCCUAAAAAAUAUGUAUCAACCCCUACAAAAAAUGGCCAUGAAUUAUAAUCCACAUAAUAAUUCACAUUUCCUGUUGCUUCAGGAUCAUUUUCUGUAACAUACUGUAACAUACUGGCUCAAAUUAAGAUCUUACAUCAGUGUCACGUUCUGACCAGUAAAGGGGUUAUUUGUUAUUGUAGUUUGGUCAGGAUGUGGCAGGGGGUAUUUGUUUUAUGUGGUUCGGGGUGUGUGUUUAUGUAGAGGGGUGUUUGGUUAGUGUUUUCCGGGUUUUUGGGGCUAUGUUCUAGUCUAGUCUUUUUAGUUCUAUGUUUAGUUAAUUGAUUUGGCCUUCAAUUGGAGGCAGCUGCUCCACAUUGCCUCUGAUUGAAGGUCCUAUAUAGAGGGGUGUGUUUUGUAUGGGUUUUGUGG